CCUACGGGUGGCAGCAGUGGGGAAUAUUGGACAAUGGGGGAAACGCUGAUGCAGCGAAGCAGCGUGAGUGAAGACGUAACUAGUUAUGGAAAGCUCUAUCAGCAGGGGAGAAAAUGACGGUACCUGAGUAAGAAGCCCGGGAUAACUACGGGACAGCAGCGGCGGUAAUACGGAAGGGGCAAGCGUUAUACGGAUUUACUGGGUGUAAAGGGAGCGUAGGCGGCUGUGCAAGUCUGGAGUGAAAGGCGGGGGCGCAACCCCCGGACUGCGCUGGAAACUGUACGGCUUGAGUGCAGGAGAGGUAAGUGGAAUUCGUGGUGUAGCGGUGAAAUGCGUAGAUAUUAGGAAGAACACCAGUUGCGAAGGCGGCUUACUG
rnacentral:rRNA from 1 species